rnacentral:rRNA from 1 species
UACGGAGGGAGCUAGCGUUGUUCGGAAUUACUGGGCGUAAAGCGCACGUAGGCGGCUUUGUAAGUUAGAGGUGAAAGCCCGGAGCUCAACUCCGGAACUGCCUUUAAGACUGCAUCGCUUGAAUCCAGGAGAGGUGAGUGGAAUUCCGAGUGUAGAGGUGAAAUUCGUAGAUAUUCGGAAGAACACCAGUGGCGAAGGCGGCUCACUGGAGCUGGUAUUGACGCUGAGGUGCGAAAAGCGUGGGGAGCAAACAGGG